rnacentral:rRNA from 1 species
CAGCAGCCACGGUAAUACGUAGGUCCCGAGCGUUGUCCGGAUUUAUUGGGCGUAAAGCGAGCGCAGGCGGUUAGAUAAGUCUGAAGUUAAAGGCUGUGGCUUAACCAUAGUACGCUUUGGAAACUGUUUAACUUGAGUGCAAGAGGGGAGAGUGGAAUUCCAUGUGUAGCGGUAAAAUGCGUAGAUAUAUGGAGGAACACCGGUGGCGAAAGCGGCUCUCUGGCUUGUAACUGACGCUGAGGCUCGAAAGCGUGGGGAGCAAACAGGAUUAGAUACCCCAGUAGUCCCUGUCUCUUAUACC